AUAACUGGACGCUACGACUCAUACCUACCUCCAUCCAUUAGAUAGUUCAUUCUCUUACUUUCGUCCAUGAAAGCUGCUCGUAGCUUUGUUGCCGUGUCCAACCCUGCUGAAAAUAAAGUUACCACUGUAGAGAAUUGUAAAGAUGUCCCGCUCCCUGAAAACAUGGACAAUGUGCCUCUGCUUGCUUUUCUGCAUAUUUAGUUCGGGCCUGACUUACAGUUAUCCCCCGGAGAGACAGGAAGACUGCGAGGAAAUUUGUGAGCUCAUGAUGGCGCAGUGUUUUGCAGACGAGGUGUGUGGAGACAGUGUGGUGUGCCAGAUGAGCUGUCACGAGAGAGCCUCUUCUUGCUACAGCCGAUGUGUGCUCCGAUUAGACAGUGAAGGGAAAAUACACAUCGAGAGGCCCGUAGCUUCCGAGAACACGUAAUGGGUUUGAUUUUUUUUAAGGCGAAAUAAAAUCUGUAAUCAAAAGAAAAC